rnacentral:snRNA from 1 species
GUCCCUUAGGGGACACCCGAUAAAAUUGGAAUGAUACAAAGAAGAUUAAUUAGCAUGGUCUUUGCACAUGAAUGAAUAAAAAAUAGUCUAGAUUUUG